UCCAGCCAAGAGGCCAUUACAGUUUCAAUUAUUGUUUAGAAAUUGUUAUAGGUUAAGUUGUAGGGUUAGCUGUACAGAUUGUAGAGAUUUAUCUUGAAGAAUUCAGUAUGUAGAAGGCUCCUUUUAGCAACAUUUUGAUGAAGUUCUGAAAUCAUUAGGAUUGAAUUUUGCUUUCUUCCUAUGAGAUUUUAGUGAAGUUUCUCUUCUCUUUUCUUUCUUUUUAUCUUUCUUCAGCAAAGCUUCUUUUGCAUCCACUCUUUUGUGUUGAUAAAGCUUCAGAGAACUAGCAGUUGCCUAUGGAAUAUGUGGUCCUUAAUAGUUUUUUUUUUUGUUUCACUAAUAAAGUUUGUCUUCUUUGUUUUUGUUGAUCCAUUUUAGACAAUGAUGUUUCUUUCUGACUACAUGUUGAUUCAUGGACAUCAUAUGUUGCUGACCGUCCAUUUGUGCUUAUCCUCUUUAUUUCUACUUGGUCCAACAUCUGAGUCAACAUGCUCAAAUUGCUUUGUUUUCUUACAUAAAUUAUCAAAUAUUGAAUUGGAUUCAUAAGCUCCAAAUCCAAAUGCAUCAUCUUACGUAACUUCUUAUAAACCGUAAAUUUUCUGGUUUUCUGGCAGAUUUUAGCAAAUCUGCUAUGUAACUUUUCCUUUUUUUGUAACAACUUCCAUCAUAAUCUAAUGCAGUUCUUUUAAGUUCACU
rnacentral:lncRNA from 1 species